rnacentral:rRNA from 1 species
GGCUCACCAAGGCGACGAUCCGUAACUGGUCUGAGAGGAUGAUCAGUCACACUGGAACUGAGACACGGUCCAGACUCCUACGGGAGGCAGCAGUGGGGAAUAUUGGACAAUGGGCGAAAGCCUGAUCCAGCCAUGCCGCGUGUGUGAAGAAGGUCUUCGGAUUGUAAAGCACUUUAAGUUGGGAGGAAGGGCAGUAAAUUAAUACUUUGCUGUUUUGACGUUACCGACAGAAUAAGCACCGGCUAACUCUGUGCCAGCAGCCGCGGUAAUACAGAGGGUGCAAGCGUUAAUCGGAAUUACUGGGCGUAAAGCGCGCGUAGGUGGUUAGUUAAGUUGGAUGUGAAAUCCCCGGGCUCAACCUGGGAACUGCAUUCAAAACUGACUGACUAGAGUAUGGUAGAGGGUGGUGGAAUUUCCUGUGUAGCGGUGAAAUGCGUAGAUAUAGGAAGGAACACCAGUGGCGAAGGCGACCACCUGGACUGAUACUGACACUGAGGUGCGAAAGCGUGGGGAGCAAACAGG